rnacentral:rRNA from 1 species
GAUGAACGCUGGCGGCGUGCCUAAUACAUGCAAGUCGAGCGAACAGACGAGGAGCUUGCUCCUCUGACGUUAGCGGCGGACGGGUGAGUAACACGUGGAUAACCUACCUAUAAGACUGGGAUAACUUCGGGAAACCGGAGCUAAUACCGGAUAAUAUAUUGAACCGCAUGGUUCAAUAGUGAAAGACGGUUUUGUUGUCACUUAUAGAUGGAUCCGCGCCGCAUUAGCUAGUUGGUAAGGUAACGGCUUACCAAGGCAACGAUGCGUAGCCGACCUGAGAGGGUGAUCGGCUACACUGGAACUGAGACACGGUCCAGACUCCUACGGGAGGCAGCAGUAGGGAAUCUUCCGCAAUGGGCGAAAGCUUGACGGAGCAACGCCGCGUGAGUGAUGAAGGUCUUCGGAUCGUAAAACUCUGUUAUUAGGGAAGAACAAAUGUGUAAGUAACUAUGCACGUCUUGACGGUACCUAAUCAGAAAGCCACGGCUAACUACGUG